rnacentral:rRNA from 1 species
CUUGGUCAUUUAGAGGAAGUAAAAGUCGUAACAAGGGUUUCCGUAGGUGGAACCUGCGGAAGGAUCAUUAACGAAUACGUCUGUCGGGAAGGGUUGCUGCUGGCCUCCUCGGAGGCAUGUGCGCGCCUUGACCGCAUUCCACCCCUUCACACCUGUGCACAACCGCUGGGGGAGCCGCGAGGCCCCCUCUGCGAACUUUUUCACAAACCCCCUAGUCGUAACAGAACGGUAUUCAUAGUAGUGCGUCUUGCGCAUGAAUAAAUACAACUUUCAGCAACGGAUCUCUUGGCUCUCGCAUCGAUGAAGAACGCAGCGAAAUGCGAUAAGUAAUGUGAAUUGCAGAAUUCAGUGAAUCAUCGAAUCUUUGAACGCACCUUGCGCUCCUUGGUAUUCCGAGGAGCAUGCCUGUUUGAGUGUCAUUAAAUUCUCAACCAUUAUCAACUUUUGCUGAUAAUGGCUUGGAUGUGGGGGUCUAUUUUGCUGGCUUCUCAGAUAGUCAGCUCCCCUUAAAUGCAUUAGCCGGUGCCCCGCGUGGACUGUCUAUUGGUGUGAUAAUUAUCUACGCUAUAGACAUCUGCAAUCAUAUGGGUUUGCGCUGCUUCUAACAGUCUGUUGAUUCAGACAAUACAUGACAAUUUGACCUCAAAUCAGGUAGGACUACCCGCUGAACUUAAGCAUAUCAAUAAGCGGAGGAAAAGAAACUAACAAGGAUUCCCCUAGUAACUGCGAGUGAAGCGGGAAAAGCUCAAAUUUAAAAUCUGGCGGUCUCUGGCCGUCCGAGUUGUAAUCUAGAGAAGUGUUAUCCGCGCUGGACCGUGUACAAGUCUC